UACGUAGGGUGCGAGCGUUAAUCGGAAUUACUGGGCGUAAAGCGUGCGCAGGCGGUGGCUCAAGCCAGGCGUGAAAUCCCCGGGCUUAACCUGGGAAUGGCGUUUGGGACUGGGUCGCUAGAGUGUGGCAGAGGGAGGUGGAAUUCCACGUGUAGCAGUGAAAUGCGUAGAGAUGUGGAGGAACACCCGUGGCGAAGGCAGGUCUCUGGGCCACUACUGACGCUGAGAAGCGAAAGCAUGGGGAGCGAACAGG
rnacentral:rRNA from 1 species